rnacentral:rRNA from 1 species
GAUGAACGCUGGCUACAGGCUUAACACAGCAAGUCGAGGGGAAACGACGGGGAAGCUUGCUUCCCCGGGCGUCGACCGGCGCACGGGUGAGUAACGCGUAUCCAACCUGCCUCUGACUGAGGGAUAACCCGUCGAAAGUCGGCCUAAUACCUCAUGGCAUCGUCUGCGGGCAUCCAACGACGAUUAAAGAUUUCAUCGGUCAGGGAUGGGGAUGCGUCUGAUUAGUUAGUUGGCGGGGUAACGGCCCACCAAGGCGACGAUCAGUAGGGGUUCUGAGAGGAAGGUCCCCCACAUUGGAACUGAGACACGGUCCAAACUCCUACGGGAGGCAGCAGUGAGGAAUAUUGGUCAAUGGGCGAGAGCCUGAACCAGCCAAGUAGCGUGCAGGAAGACGGCCCUAUGGGUUGUAAACUGCUUUUAUGCGGGGAUAAAGUGAGGGACGUGUCCUUCAUUGCAGGUACCGCAUGAAUAAGGACCGGCUAAUUCCGUGCCAGCAGCCGCGGUAAUACGGAAGGUCCGGGCGUUAUCCGGAUUUAUUGGGUUUAAAGGGAGCGUAGGCCGUGGAUUAAGCGUGUUGUGAAAUGCAGGUGCUCAACGUCUGCACUGCAGCGCGAACUGGUUCACUUGAGUGUGCACAACGCAGGCGGAAUUCGUCGUGUAGCGGUGAAAUGCUUAGAUAUGACGAAGAACUCCGAUUGCGAAGGCAGCUUGCGGGAGCACAACUGACGCUGAAGCUCGAAAGUGCGGGUAUCGAACAGG